rnacentral:rRNA from 1 species
GGGUUGUUGCUGGUUCUCCAGGGAGCAUGUGCACACCUUGUCAUCUUUAUAUCUCCACCUGUGCACUUUUUGUAGACCUUUUCAGGUCUAUGUUGCUUCAUUUUACCCCAAUGUAUGUUAAUAGAAUGUUGUACCUAUAUAAUAUAUACAACUUUCAGCAACGGAUCUCUUGGCUCUCGCAUCGAUGAAGAACGCAGCGAAAUGCGAUAAGUAAUGUGAAUUGCAGAAUUCAGUGAAUCAUCGAAUCUUUGAACGCACCUUGCGCUCCUUGGUAUUCCGAGGAGCAUGCCUGUUUGAGUGUCAUUAAUAUAUAUCAACCCUCUCUCUUGUAGCGAGUGGUUUGGAUGUGGGGGUUUUGCUGGCCUCUUUGAAAAAAGGGCUCAGCUCUCCUGAAAUGCAUUAGCAGAACAAACCUGUUCAUUGGUGUGAUAACUAUCUGCGCCAUUGAAUGUGAGGGGCAGUUCAGCUUUCUAACAGUCCUUCGUUGGACAAUUCAUCAUUAAUGUGACCUCAAAUCAGGUAGGACUACCCGCUGAACUUAAGCAUAUCAAUAAGCGGAGGAAAAGAAACUAACAAGGAUUCCCCUAGUAACUGCGAGUGAAGCGGGAAAAGCUCAAAUUUAAAAUCUGGCGGUCUUUUGGCUGUCCGAGUUGUAAUCUAGAGAAGUGUUAUCCGCGCUGGACCGUGUACAAGUCUCCUGGAAUGGAGCAUCAUAAGAGGGUGAGAAUCCCGUCUUUG